rnacentral:rRNA from 1 species
GACGAACGCUGGCGGCGUGCUUAACACAUGCAAGUCGAACGGAAAGGCCCUGCUUGCUGGGUCCUCGAGUGGCGAACGGGCGAGUAACACGUGGGUGAUCCGCCCUCCACUUCUGGAUAGGCCUGGGCGACUGGGACCAAUCCCGGAUAGGAGACACUUUUAGUGUGUUGGUUCGAAAGAUUUUUGGGUGUUGGGUGAGCUAGCGGCCUAUUAGCUUGUUGGUGGGGUAAUGGCCUACCAGCGCGGCGAGGGGUCGCGGGACAGAGAGGGUGGACGGCCGCCCUGAGACUUAGGGGAGGCCGAGGCUGGGACGGGUGGCAGAUGGGGGGAAGAUUGCACAAGGGGCGCAGGGUGGAUGCAGCGACGCUGCGGGUGGGAUAGCGGUCUUGGGGUGGUAGACUCCUUUCGGGUGGGACGAAGCUUGUUGUGACGGUACCUAGAGAAGAAGCACCGGCUAACUACGUG